UACGUAGGGGUGCAAGCGUUGUCCGGAAUUAUUGGGCGUAAAGAGCGUGUAGGCGGCCCGAUAAGUCCGCCGUGAAAGUCCAGGGCUCAACCCUGGAAUGCCGGUGGAAACUGUCGGGCUGGAGUCCGGGAAGAGGCGAGUGGAAUUCCUGGUGAUAGCGGUGAAAUGCGCAGAUAUCAGGAGGAACACCAAUGGCGAAGGCAGCUCGCUGGGACGGUACUGACGCUGGAGGCGCGAAAGCGUGGGGAGCAAACAGG
rnacentral:rRNA from 1 species